rnacentral:lncRNA from 1 species
AAAAUACAUACACAUUCUCUGGUGCAAAGGUGUCAUGACAAAAACUUACCAAAACUGAAAAUGAAAAGUCGAAAAAUAUAAUAAAUAACAAGAUCUCUUUCUUUAUAUUUAAAUAUGCCUAAAAACGAAGUGUUAAUAUAACUUUUGAUCAAUCAGAUGUAACUGACUCAAUGAUCAAGAUAUUAACUCAUCCAAGAUUAUUUCAUUUGGCAAUGAUAACAUUUUACUAAUAGCAUGGAAAUAAAAAUGAUGAAAGAGAUCUAGAGGGCGAACCUCUAUGGACUAUAAUGCACCAUCAUAAAAACCAAGAUUGCAAAGACAGCCAAAAUCAUCAUUCCAACUUUCCUUGGACUUGAAUAUCUGAAAAAACAAGAAAGAAACCUUUCCUUCUCCCUCGCAACGGAACUGUAUAUCUUUGAAGUCUUUCGAACAGUGUACAAAUUCUGAGCCUGCAACCCUUCACUCUGUGCCUGUAGCUGCAUUGACUCAAAACUUGAUGAUGUUCGAAGACUCAGCGACGCUCCAUUCAUUAUAUCUCCAAUACCCAAAUAACCUUCAUCUCUUUUUGCCCUUAAAUCUCCCCUUCAUCCACAAAUAAACACAAUAGCGUAUCAUACCAGAAUAAAAAAUCACCAUCCAAAUAAUAAUAACUUAAUAUAUUACAGACGACACUAAGAUACAUUAACAAAAUCCAAAUUCAGUAAAUUUGGCAUACAUGAAAUAAUAGAAGAGAAAUCAAAACUUAGUUAUUAAACAUUCUCAUCAACUCACCAAAUCUAUCGUUCCAUUAAAGUUAAAGUCAAAACUUAGUUAUUAAAAAUUCUCAUCAACUCACCAAAUCUAUCGUUCCAUUAAGGUUAAAGGAUCGACUUUACUCAACACGAAAGUUCAAUCACUUUCUCCAAAACAAAGAGCACCGCAAUGCCAAAAUUGACUUAGUAAUUACAAAACCACAAACAGGAAUCCCCGUUUACCCACACUAACUACCAAUCAAGGGGAAUUAUAAGUCAUAGAUACACUUUCACUUAGAUACAAGCUUAAUCCGAAAUCGAACUUUCAGAAUUAUACAAACAUUAGAAAUCUAGAUCAAUGCGGCACAUUAUGGAUAAUCAAAGCCUAAUGGGCCCAUCAAACAAGGAUAUUUACAAACAUUAAAUUAAGCUGUGUACCUUUGUAUAAUGUGUAUGCAUUAAAUAGGAUAAUAUUUUUGCAGAGAUAAAGAUUAUAGUGCGUUUGAUUGCCUCUAUUAGUGAUUUCUUCGCCUUGGUCUCUCUCCCUAGAAACAGUUGCAUCCUCGAUUUUGUCAAUUUAUUUAUAAUGUUUAAUUAUUUUAUUUUAUUUUUU